rnacentral:rRNA from 1 species
AACGCUGGCGGCGUGCCUAACACAUGCAAGUCGAACGCGAAAGCCCCGCAAGGGGGCAAGUAGAGUGGCAAACGGGUGAGUAACACGUGGGUGACCUGCCUUCGAGCGGGGGAUAACGUCCCGAAAGGGACGCUAAUACCGCAUGACAUCCUGCCUUUGAAGAGGUGGAGAUCAAAGCUGGGGAUCGCAAGACCCGGCACUUGAAGAGGGGCCCGCGUCUGAUUAGCUAGUUGGUGGGGUAAUGGCCUACCAAGGCAACGAUCAGUAUCCGGCCUGAGAGGGCGGACGGACACACUGGGACUGAGACACGGCCCAGACUCCUACGGGAGGCAGCAGUGGGGAAUUGUUCGCAAUGGGCGCAAGCCUGACGACGCAACGCCGCGUGGAGGAUGAAGAUUUUCGGAUCGUAAACUCCUGUCGAAUGGGACGAAUAGAUUGCGGGUUAACAGCCCGUGGUCCUGACGGUACCGUUAAAGGAAACCCCGGCUAACUCCGUGCCAGCAGCCGCGGUAAUACGGGGGGGGUAAGCGUUGUUCGGAAUUACUGGGCGUAAAGGGCUCGUAGGCGGCCAACUAAGUCAUACGUGAAAUCCCUCAGCUUAACUGGGGAACUGCGUGUGAUACUGGAUGGCUUGGAUUUGGGAGAGGGAUGCGGAAUUCCAGGUGUAGCGGUGAAAUGCGUAGAUAUCUGGAGGAACACCGGUGGCGAAGGCGGCAUCCUGGACCAAUAUUGACGCUGAGGAGCGAAAGCCAGGGGAGCAAACG